CAGAUGGGUUUCAAUAUAUCAAGAACCGCCUUGCAGGCCUGAAGCCAGAUGUUUUGAAGGAUCCCAUUUGUGUUGGUCUGUUUGGCAGCACUGGGGCUGGGAAAAGCACAUUACUGAAUGCGAUUCUUGAAAAAAAAUACUUCUUGCCAGUAUCUGGGAGCCAAACCUGCACAUCUUGUGUGGUGCAGGUCAACACAAGCCGCAACAAAUACUAUGAAGCAAAAAUUUACCUCCUGAGUGAUGAGGAGUGGAAGGAUGAACUGAAG